ACCUCAAGAUGAGUGCUCUCC
rnacentral:rRNA from 13 species